rnacentral:rRNA from 1 species
UACGUAGGCAGCGAGCGUUGUUCGGAAUUACUGGGCGUAAAGAGUGUGUAGGCGGUGCUCUAAGUUCGGUGUGAAAUCUCCCGGCUUAACUGGGAGGGUGCGCCGGAAGCUGGAGUGCUCGAGCGUGGGAGAGGAAAGCGGAAUUCCUGGUGUAGCGGUGAAAUGCGUAGAUAUCGUCUGGAACGCCAAAGGUGAAAACAGACUGCUGGGGCUGUGCUGACGCUGAGACACGAAAGCCAGGGGAGCGAACGGG